rnacentral:rRNA from 1 species
UACGGGGGGGGCAAGCGGUUUGUUCGGAAUUACUGGGCGUAAAGGGCGCGUAGGCGGCCUUCUAAGUCGGACGUGAAAUCCCUCGGCUUAACCGAGGAACUGCGUCCGAUACUGAAAGGCUUGAAUCCGGGAGAGGGAUGUGGAAUUCCAGGUGUAGCGGUGGAAAUGCGUAGAUAUCUGGAGGAACACCGGUGGCGAAGGCGGCAUCCUGGGACCGGCAUUGACGCUGAGGCGCGGAAAGCUAGGGGAGCAAACG